CAGGGGAUGCAAGCGUUACUCGGAAUUACUGGGCGUAAAGCGUCUGCAGGUUUCUUUCCACGUCUGGUGUAAAAGCACUGGAGCUCAACUCCGUGUACGUGCCGGAAACGAGAGAGAUAGAGUCAUUCAGAGGCAUCUGGAAUGUCGUGUGUAGGGGUAAAAUCCGUAGAUCCACGAUGGAACGCCAAAAGCGAAGGCAGGAUGCUGGGGAUGUACUGACACUCAGAGACGAAAGCGUGGGGAGCAAAGGGGAUUAGAUACCCCCGUAGUCCACGCCCUAAACUAUGUGGGCUCGGUGUAGGAAUUUUCAAUUGUUCCUGUGCCCAAGCUAACGCGGUAAGCCCACCGCCUGGGAAGUACGGCCGCAAGGCUA
rnacentral:rRNA from 1 species